UGGCGGCGUGCUUAACACAUGCAAGUCGAACGAAGCACCAUGGACAGAAUUUUUCGGAAGGACGACUAUGGGCGACUUAGUGGCGGACGGGUGAGUAACGCGUGGGUAACCUGCCCUGUACCGGGGGACAACAGUUGGAAACGACUGCUAAUACCGCAUAAGCGCACGGCAUCGCAUGAUGCAGUGUAGAAAAAUUCCGGUGGUACAGGAUGGACCCGCGUCUGAUUAGCUAGUUGGUGAGGUAACGGCUUACCAAGGCAACGAUCAGUAGCCGACUUGAGAGAGUGAUCGGCCACAUUGGGACUGAGACACGGCCCAAACUCCUACGGGAGGCAGCAGGUGGGGAAUAUUGCACAAUGGGGGAAACCCUGAUGCAGCGACGCCGCGUGAAGGAAGAAGUAUUUCGGUAUGUAAACUUCUAUCAGCAGGGAAGAAGAAAUGACGGUACCUGACUAAGAAGCACCGGCUAAAUACGUG
rnacentral:rRNA from 1 species